UGGAUUCCUUGGGAUUCCUUGAGAUUCCUUGGGAUGGAUUCCUCAGGAUGGGUUCCUUGGGAUUCCUUGGGAUGGAUUCCUCAGGAUUCUUCAGGAUGGAUUCCUCGGGAUGGAUUCCUCGGGAUUUGUCAGGAUUCCUUGGGAUGGAUCCCUCAGGAUUCCUUGGGAUGGAUCCCUCAGGAUUCUUCAGGAGUUUUUGGGAUG
rnacentral:lncRNA from 1 species